rnacentral:rRNA from 1 species
GAUGAACGCUGGCGGCGUGCUUAACACAUGCAAGUCGAGCGAAGCGCUUUGGUUAGAUUCUUCGGAUGAAGACCUUUGUGACUGAGCGGCGGACGGGUGAGUAACGCGUGGGUAACCUGCCUCAUACAGGGGGAUAACAGUUAGAAAUGACUGCUAAUACCGCAUAAGCGCACGGAACCGCAUGGUUUUGUGUGAAAAACCCCGGUGGUAUGAGAUGGACCCGCGUCUGAUUAGCUGGUUGGUGGGGUAACGGCCUACCAAGGCGACGAUCAGUAGCCGGCCUGAGAGGGCGACCGGCACAUUGGGACUGAGACACGGGCCCAAACUCCUACGGGAGCCAGCAGUGGGGAAUAUUGGCACAAUGGGCAAAGCCUGAUGCAGCGACGCCGCGUGAGCGAUGAAGUAUUUCGGGAUGUAAAGCU